GCAUGGUGUGAUUAAUCUACUAACCAACCCAGGGCUCGGCCAGGACACUGUGGUGCUGCGACGAGAUGCCUGGCCUUCUGUGAACUGACUAACCCACUAACCAGGCCCGAGCAUGCCCUACUAACCCGCAGCAGCCAGACCCUACUAACC
rnacentral:lncRNA from 1 species